rnacentral:rRNA from 1 species
GUCGAGCCGCUGACGGGUGAGUAAUGCCUAGGAAAUUGCCCUGAUGUGGGGGAUAACCAUUGGAAACGAUGGCUAAUACCGCAUGAUGCCUACGGGCCAAAGAGGGGGACCUUCGGGCCUCUCGCGUCAGGAUAUGCCUAGGUGGGAUUAGCUAGUUGGUGAGGUAAGGGCUCACCAAGGCGACGAUCCCUAGCUGGUCUGAGAGGAUGAUCAGCCACACUGGAACUGAGACACGGUCCAGACUCCUACGGGAGGCAGCAGUGGGGAAUAUUGCACAAUGGGCGCAAGCCUGAUGCAGCCAUGCCGCGUGUGUGAAGAAGGCCUUCGGGUUGUAAAGCACUUUCAGUCGUGAGGAAGGUGGUGUAGUUAAUAGCUGCAUUAUUUGACGUUAGCGACAGAAGAAGCACCGGCUAACUCCGUGCCAGCAGCCGCGGUAAUACGGAGGGUGCGAGCGUUAAUCGGAAUUACUGGGCGUAAAGCGCAUGCAGGUGGUUUGUUAAGUCAGAUGUGAAAGCCCGGGGCUCAACCUCGGAAUAGCAUUUGAAACUGGCAGACUAGAGUACUGUAGAGGGGGGUAGAAUUUCAGGUGUAGCGGUGAAAUGCGUAGAGAUCUGAAGGAAUACCGGUGGCGAAGGCGGCCCCCUGGACAGAUACUGACACUCAGAUGCGAAAGCGUGGGGAGCAAACAGGAUUAGAUACCCUGGUAGUCCACGCCGUAAACGAUGUCUACUUGGAGGUUGUGGCCUUGAGCCGUGGCUUUCGGAGCUAACGCGUUAAGUAGACCGCCUGGGGAGUACGGUCGCAAGAUUAAAACUCAAAUGAAUUGACGGGGGCCCGCACAAGCGGUGGAGCAUGUGGUUUAAUUCGAUGCAACGCGAAGAACCUUACCUACUCUUGACAUCCAGAGAACUUUCCAGAGAUGGAUUGGUGCCUUCGGGAACUCUGAGACAGGUGCUGCAUGGCUGUCGUCAGCUCGUGUUGUGAAAUGUUGGGUUAAGUCCCGCAACGAGCGCAACCCUUAUCCUUGUUUGCCAGCGAGUAAUGUCGGGAACUCCAGGGAGACUGCCGGUGAUAAACCGGAGGAAGGUGGGGACGACGUCAAGUCAUCAUGGCCCUUACGAGUAGGGCUACACACGUGCUACAAUGGCGCAUACAGAGGGCGGCCAACUUGCGAAAGUGAGCGAAUCCCAAAAAGUGCGUCGUAGUCCGGAUUGGAGUCUGCAACUCGACUCCAUGAAGUCGGAAUCGCUAGUAAUCGUGGAUCAGAAUGCCACGGUGAAUACGUUCCCGGGCCUUGUACACACCGCCCGUCACACCAUGGGAGUGGGCUGCAAAAGAAGUAGGUAGUUUAACC